rnacentral:lncRNA from 1 species
AACAGUAAUCCAUUGUUGAACUAAGAACACUGGAAUCCUCCCCACUUUUAUAAAAGUGCUUCAACACUUCUCUGAGUGGUCCCUCCAGUGAAGUCGUUGGAAUUUCUACGUGGCAGCUUAGGGCUCCAAGAAAGCGAGGCAGAAGCCGUCAGCUCUAUUCAAGGUGGCAACUGGCAGUGUCACCUCCACUGUACUCCAUAAUCAAAGCAGUCCCAGAAUGAAAGAGAUGGAAAAUAGACCCCAGCUCUCAAUGGGAAGAACCUACAGCCGUCUUUAAUCCGCCAUAACCGUCCUCUGGCCACAGGUCAUUUACACAUGCACGAUACACUCAGCUCUUUCAAGAUGCUCAGAAGUCUCAUCAUCUAAAGCAUGUCCGCGUACAGAUGAGGCUUCUGCUUGGGUAUUUCCUUUACAUCUGAAGACCUGCGAACUAGAGAGACAAGGCAACAGCCUUCUCCACACCCAACCGACAAUGGUGAGACAGAGCCAGGACAUCCCCAGUGGGCACCUGUCCAACAAGAGAGGUGGCGGAGCCAGGCAGCAGCCACUGCGGGUUCCAGCAGGCUCCUGCUGCCUUGCCUUGAGGAGGACUCACUUCUGCUUCCUGCCUUCUCCCCAGCCCUUAGCUCUGUCCUCUGGGCUGUUGCUUCUACCGAGACUUCCUCAGGGAAAAGAAAUGGCCUAGGUUUGCAACUAAGUAGCCUCUCAGCCUGCUUUCCUCCAGGGAAGGCUGGGGAAGGGGGUCCAAAAGUCUGUGCCUCUUUUAGUUCAAGCCAGUGGCGCUUCCAUCACUCUGCCAAUACCUUGUGGGUUUCUUUGAAUUUUAUCAGAGUUCACCCCAUCCAUUAGUUACAAACCACACUGACCUGAGAUGGGCCCUUGGUCCACCUUUGAGACUGCCGGGGGCCAAUUCUCUUAUGAUUUUUUAAAGCCCUAUUAUCUUGGGGAUCUAUGAGACACCCCUAAAUCUGACGUCUUGUUAAGCCAAACCUUUGAUUUCACCUUUACCCCUGCCUAGGAUUUGAUCUUUGCACAGAGGCCAUUUUUCAGUUUUGCCCAGAGAGACUGUGAUGGUCAAAGUUUCACAAACCCAGCAAGUCUUGACUUCUAUAUUUCUUAUGACUUCUGUUCAAAACCUGAACAGUUCCUUAAUUCAUUUGUCUCUUCUCUCAAAUUUCAAAACCUAAAGCUAUGCUGCUUGCUUAAAGAUUAAAGUGAUAAAAUCUUCACGUUGGAUUGGUUUAGACCACCACUGCCCAGUAGAAAUAUAAUGUAAAUACAUACAAUUUUAAAUUUUCUAGUAUCCACAUUUAUAAAGUAAAAGAAACAGGUACAAUUAAUUUUAAUGAUAUAUUUUAAUCUAAUAUAAAUUAUCAUUUUAACAUGUAAUCUGUAUAAAAAUUGGUAAUUAGAUAUUUUUAAUUUUUUUGUACUAAGUUUUGAAAUCCAGUGUGUAUUUUACACCAAUAACAUAUUUCAUGCAUCCAACAAAGGUCUAAUAUCCAGUAUCUAUAAGGAACUUAAAAAUACAUUUGCAAGAAAAAAACAACCCAUAAACAAGUGGGCAGAGGACAUGAACAGACACUUUUCAAAAGAAGACAUACAUGUGGCCAACAAUCACAUAAAACAAAGUUCAACAUCACUUACCAUUAGAGAAAUGCAAAUCAAAGCCACAAUGAGAUACCAUCUCACAUCAGUCAGAAUGGCUAUUCUUAAAAAUACCAGAUGCUGGCAAGUUGGAUCAGAACUACUUCACUGGCUCUCCUGGAUCUCCAACUUGGCCAUUCACCUUGAAGGCCUUGUGACUUGUCAGCCUCCAUAAUCAAUGAGCUAAAUCCUUGUAAUAAAUCUCUUUAUACAGAUAUAUACAAAUAUAGAUGUAGACAUGUAUCUCCUAUUGCUUCUGUUUCUCUGGAGAACCUAAUACAAUGUUACCUGUACUUAGUCCAUACGAUUUUCCAUCUUUCAUUGAUUAUUUAAACCCUAAUUGAGAAUUGAAAAGUACAUAACUAUUUCUAUCUUAUUGUUUAAGUGUUUUACAUUUUAAUGGCAUGGGGCCCUGGGAUCAGUAAUUAGAGUCAUUAAAUGGGAGACCUCAAUUCCUAAAAUAAUAGGAUCUCCCUUAGCCUAGUUUGGCGAAUUCAUUAGGAUAAAAUAAAAUGGUAUAGGCUGGGCACAGUGGCUCAGCACCUUGGGACGCCAAGUCAGGAGGAUCUCUUGAGCUCAGGAGUUCAGAACAAGCCUGGGCAACAUAAUGAGACGUUGUCUCUACAAAAAAAAAAAAAAAAAAAAAAAAGCUAGGUGUGUUCACAUGGAUCUGUAGUCACAGCUAAUUGGGAGACUGAAGUGGGAGGAUCACUUAGAGCCCCGGAGAUGGAGGCUGCAGUACUCCAGCCUGGGUGACGAAGCAAGACACUGUCUCAAAAAAUAAAAAUAAAAAGUGGUAUAUGUGAUUAUGUGAUCACCCUCUGAAAAUUAAUUAGUAAUAUAAGAUAUAAAGUUAUUCCAAAAAUUAUAAGCAACUCCUCUAAAAAUUGACCUGAUUUCACGUGCUGGCUCUGUCUUGCCCUAGCCAUGCAAUCCUGAGCUGAUAACUUAAUGCUGUGAGCAGAAAUUAGCUAAAACAAGGCUAAUAUUACUGUCUUCCUUGUAGAGUUGUGUGAAUUAGAGACAAAUUUUGGAAACUGCAUAUAGAUACAUAAUAAAUUGUAAAUUAUUCCUUUUUUCAGCAUUUAAAGCAUUGAGAGUGGUUUUUUUUGUUAGGUGGAGUAUUAAACCAGUUCAUUUUAAUAUUAUGCAAUAUAAUACACAAAAGUUACAUACAGUUUUUUACAUUUAUCCAGUACGAGCAGUCCUGGCUUUACAUGGGUAUCAUAUAAACUGAAACUUGUGCAUAUCAGAACUGUGGCCUUGCUUUGCAAAUACAAACAUAUACAUACAACUAUGUCAUCUCUCUAUACCAUAGAGCUGUCUCCAGUAGCAAUGAGCACCUCCAGUGCCUAGAUCUUAGUUCCUAACACUGUCCUAGUCCAUCUGGGCUGCUAUGACAAAAUACCAUAGACUGGGUGACUUAUAAACAACAGAAACGUAUUAGGUGGAUGCAAAAGUAACUGCAGUUUUUGCCAUUACCUAUCUCCCACAGGUCUGAAGGCUGGGAAGUCCAAGAUCAAGGUGGUAGCAGAUUCAGUGUCUGGUGCCGGCUCCAUGCUUCCUAGAUGGUGCCUUCCAGCUGUGUCUUCACAUGGCCAAAAGGGUGAAGAAGCCCCCAGGGCCUCCUUCAUAAAGGCAUGAAUCCCACUCACGAGGGCUUUGCAAUCAUGACCUAAUCGCCUCCUAAAGGCCCCACCUUUAGUACCAUUUCAUUGGAGAGAGAUUUCAACCUAUGAAUUUUGGGGGAUACAAACAUUCAGACCACACCAAAUACUAUUCUCCAAUAGAGGGACCAGGGCUCCAUGGAGGAGUGGCCGAUUUGGGGGCUGAGGCAGGGCAAUAUAAAAUGUACCUGGAGCAUCUUGUACUGCCAGACUGUAGGAAAGUGCUCAAAAAACAAAAACCAAAACAACAGAAGAAUGAGAGCAUGUCACAGGAGCCAUCCUGAAAGAGCCCCAAAUGGCUAAAGCUAGAACAACCUGAGUAACAAAAUACAUCAUGUGCUAUCGGAUUAUAACUAAAGUACAAAAUACAUUUCUAUGAGCCCAUAUUGAUAGAAAUAAACAAAUAAAUAAAUAAAUGGGGAGAAGAGGCACAUUUCCCACAGAAGAACUCUACCCCAGUGGUGUGUGUCUCCCCUUCCAGGAGGCGGGCAUCAUACCUUCUUCUCCAAGAGUGCAGUAUGGAAGCUUGACUCCAAGAGUGCAGUAUGGAAGCAGGGGGUGACUUUACAGGGGAGCAGCCUGACAAGCACUCCCGGAGCCAGGUGGUCAAGGCUGGCACCAUCCGUGAUGUGUCAUGUUGACACGCACCCUUGCAAUGAGGCAAUGAGAAAGGCACUUCCCUUCUGUGGCCUUCCCCCCCAAACCCAUAACCCCAGUCUCACCAUGAUAAAAACACAAGGCGAACCCCAGCGGAGCGGCCUUCUACAAAACACAUGACCAGUACUCCCCUAAACUGUCGUGAUCAUCAAAACAAGAAAGUCUGAGAAACUGUCUCGGAUCAGAGGACACUGAGGAGACGUGACAACUCCAUGUAAUGUCAAGUGGACCCUGGAGGAGAGGAAGGGCACUGGGGAAAACUGGUGGUGACGGUUAAUACAGUUUAGGGGACCCUGCGUGAAGCAGAUGACCCUCCAUCAUGGGGGUGGACCUCAUCCAAUCUCUGCAAUUCUCUGGAUCACUAUUUGCAAAUUCACCUAUUUGCUAAAAUAUAAUUGUAACCCCCAAAAUAAUCUGUCACCUCUGCAGGUUUUGGACUUACCAAGCCUCCACAAUCACGUGAGCCUAUUUUUAAAAAAUCUCUCUCCCUCUUCACACAUGCAAACACACACACACACACACUCACUCACUAACUCAUCCUGUCUGAUCUGCUUCUCUGAAAAACCCUGAAUAGUACUCUGGUGAAAUCAGAAUAAAUGUGGAGUUUAGUUAAUGGUAACGGAUUGAUACUGGUUCAUUAGUUGUGACACAUGUACCAGAAUAAUAGGGAGCUGCUUUUCUGUAAAUCUAGCUCUAAAAUAAAAAGUCUGUUUUAAAAAUGCUUGCAUUAACCUCCUCUAUACAUUUAAAUAUAUUUUACAAGUUGGUAACUUCCUUCAUAGAAGACUAAUAAAACAAUAUCAUGUUUUAUUAUUUUAAUGGGAAGAGUAUAAAAAUCU